rnacentral:misc_RNA from 1 species
UCUCCGUAGGUGAACCUGCGGAGGGAUCAUUACUGAGUGAGGGCCCCCGGCCCGACCUCCAACCCUUUGUGUAUCUCGACCCUGUUGCCUCGGGGGCGACCCGGCCUUCGGGCGUCGGGGCCCCCGGCGGACCAACCAUCAAAACCCUGCGUCCCUGCGUCGGAGUACCUUUGAUAAAUCAAUCAAAACUUUCAACAACGGAUCUCUUGGUUCUGGCAUCGAUGAAGAACGCAGC